rnacentral:rRNA from 1 species
GGAAUAUUGGUCAAUGGGCGAGAGCCUGAACCAGCCAAGUAGCGUGCAGGACGACUGCCCUAUGGGUUGUAAACUGCUUUUAUGCGGGAAUAAAGUCCACUACGUGUAGUGGUUUGUAUGUACCGCAUGAAUAAGGACCGGCUAAUUCCGUGCCAGCAGCCGCGGUAAUACGGAAGGUCCGGGCGUUAUCCGGAUUUAUUGGGUUUAAAGGGAGCGCAGGCUGAUUGUUAAGCGUGACGUGAAAUGUAGCCGCUCAACGGCUGAACUGCGUCGCGAACUGGCAGUCUUGAGUGAGUACGACGUCAGCGGAAUUCGUGGUGUAGCGGUGAAAUGCUUAGAUAUCACGAAGAACCCCGAUUGCGAAGGCAGCGUACCAGUCCUUUACUGACGCUAAAGCUCGAAGGUGCGGGUAUCGAACA